rnacentral:rRNA from 1 species
CCUACGGGUGGCAGCAGUGAGGAAUAUUGGUCAAUGGCCGAAAGGCUGAACCAGCCAAGUCGCGUGAGGGAAGAAGGCCCUACGGGUUGUAAACCUCUUUUGUCGGGGAGCAAAGCGAACCACGUGUGGUUCAUUGAGAGUACCCGAAGAAAAAGCAUCGGCUAACUCCGUGCCAGCAGCCGCGGUAAUACGGAGGAUGCGAGCGUUAUCCGGAUUUAUUGGGUUUAAAGGGUGCGCAGGCGGAGGUGCAAGUCAGCGGUCAAAUUGCGGGGCUCAACCCCGUACUGCCGUUGAAACUGCAUCCCUUGAGUGCAGGAGAGGUAGGCGGAAUGCGUGGUGUAGCGGUGAAAUGCAUAGAUAUCACGCAGAACUCCGAUUGCGAAGGCAGCAUACCGGUCCGCAACUGACGCUGAUGCACGAAAGCGUGGGUAUCGAACAGGAUUAGAUACCCCAGUAGUC